CAAGGAAUCUUCGGCACUGGGCGCAAGCCUGACCGAGCAACGCCGCGUGGAGGAUGACGGCCUUCGGGUUGUAAACUCCUUUGAGGUGGGAGGAAACGGACCGUACCACCAGAACAAGCCCCGGCUAACUCUGUGCCAGCAGCCGCGGUAAGACAGAGGGGGCCAGCGUUGUCCGGAUUGACUGGGCGUACAGCGCGCGCAGGCGGUUGGUGACGUGCCGUGUGACAGCUUGCUGCUCACCAGCAAGUGGUCACGGUAAACGCAUCGACUAGAGGGACCGAGAGGGAUGUGGAAUACCCGGUGGAGCGGUGAAAUGCGUAGAGAUCGGGUGGAACACCAGGGGCGAAGGCGGCAUCCUGGCGGUCAACUGACGCUGAGGCGCGAGAGCGUGGGGAGCAAAC
rnacentral:rRNA from 1 species